AUUACUGGGCGUAAAGCGUGCGUAGGCGGCUUUUUAAGUCGGAUGUGAAAUCCCUGAGCUUAACUUAGGAAUUGCAUUCGAUACUGGGAAGCUAGAGUAUGGGACGAGGAUGGUAGAAUUCCAGGUGUAGCGGUGAAAUGCGUAGAGAUCUGGAGGAAUACCGAUGGCGAAGGCAGCCAUCUGGCCUAAUACUGACGCUGAGGUACGAAAGCAUGGGGAGCAAACAGGAUUAGAUACCCUGGUAGUCAAGGGCGAAUUCG
rnacentral:rRNA from 1 species